AAUAAGAAUCAGCUCCUCGCAUAGCAGCUUAACUUCUCACAAGACCCACAAGACUAAAACAGUAUACAGUAGUAUAAGUACAAGAAGUUGAGAGAAAUAACCGAGUGAUCAGUUAUCUUUUGAUAAUUAUGUGUGAUCUGUAUCUAAAAAAAAAAAUACAUAUUAGACUGAGUCAUAUCAAUACUCUAAGACUCUGGAAAAAACUUGAUUAAAAACAGUGAUUUAAUGCAAGGAAAGUUUAGUUCCGGUUGAAAAAAAUUUUCAAUUAUUUAUGGAAAGUUCAAUUAAUAAUUAAAUAAUCUUACCCAAUUUAUUUUCAGCAACUUGCAAAUGAGGUUAACCCUUCUUUUUGACAAUCAGAAUCGAUUUCAUAAUACUAUAAUUAAAUUUAAAAUUAUUAAACCAAUAAUUCAAGCAGCCAAUUUAAAAAUUAGAAUUGGUAAUAUCUGGUGAUUAUCAUAAAUCCUUGACUGCACAAUUGGACAAUUGUACAAUAAAAUUUUAUUUUAAAAAGUAAGUAUUGAAAUAUAAAAUAAAUAACUUUUCUAGAGAAAGUUAAAUUUGUCAUGAAUGUGAUGAUAAUCAGUGGCAUUGUCCCUAAUAGAGAUUACUUUCGCUGUUUCUGUCAUUAGACAUGUAAUUUCUAUAAAUUUGCUUAUGGAGAAAAACGUCGUCGAAAGUUUAAAAUUGUUUGUGAAACAAAAAAUGUAUAUUUUAUAUUUAGUACAACGAAGGUUGUCAAGUUAGAGAAUCAUGGGAAUUCCACGACUAGAGCGCCACUCGUUUCUUCACGUCCAUUUUACCGACUGACAAUAGCUUACCAAUUGGCGGGAAAAUUUGUUUCACUUUUAACCACCGCCAAACAAAAUUAAUUGAAAAUUCCUGCAAUACAAAUUAAACAUUACGUAAUUUAAAAACAAAUAUCAAGCUAUCUUAUUUUUAUUUCUUCUUUAUUUAUAAUUACUU